rnacentral:rRNA from 1 species
CAAUAGCGUAUAUUAAAGUUGUUGCGGUUAAAAAGCUCGUAGUUGGAUCUCGGCAGGUAGGGGGCGGUUCGUUUCUGACGGCACUGCCCCAUUUACCUGUGUUUUUGACGGAGGUCUCAGGGUGCUCUUUACCGAGUGUCCUGAUACGCCGUCAGGUUUACUUUGAAAAAAUUAGAGUGCUCAAAGCAGGCUACAAGCUUGAAUAUUUGUGCAUGGAAUAAUGGAAUAGGACGUCGUUUCUAUUUUUUUUGGUUUUCGGAAAUUGACGUAAUGAUUAAUAGGGACAGCCGGGGGCAUUAGUAUUCAGACGACAGAGGUGAAAUUCUUGGACCGUUUGAAGACUAACUACUGCGAAAGCAUUUGCCAAGAGUGUUUUCAUUAAUCAAGAAC